CCCAGGAACCCGAGGACCACGAUCUGAGCCGAAGGCAGACGCUCAACCACUGAGUCACCCAGGUCUGUAGGAGAGUCACAGCAACAUUGUGACGCUGCUGUCGGGGGUCGUGUAGAUCAACCUCAUCGCUGCAAGUGGACCGUGUGGGAGAGAGCCAACUGGCCAGCUCAACUGCAUUGUUGUGCCCAAGAUUACGUAUCCGAGGAACCACCAAGAAGCCGACAUCGAUGCAAACACACGAGGGUUUAUUUACAAGCUCGAGCUUGGAUCCAAGUACACCCGACACAGAGGAGCAGGGACUUGGGGACCCCAGGGCGUUAAGCUGUAAACUGCUUUUUCCUGUAACUGAAGCAAGAAGAAGGCCUCUCGUGGAAAGCCAGGAAGGGGGUCCACCCCGGGAAAUGAAUCAUCUUGGAAUUCCUAGACUCUGGAACUGUGAUAAAUAAAUUUCUGUGGACUUUUGAAUUAAUGCUUAGCCUUCUCCUGACAAUUGAGCAUAUGGUGCUGUGCCCAAGAUUGCGAAUCCGAGAAACCACCAAGGAGCCAACAGUGAUGCAAGCGCACGAGGGUUUAUUAACAAGCUCGAGCUUGGAUCCAAGUAUACCCGACACAGAGGAGCAGGGACUGGGACCCCAAGGAUUUGACUCAGGUAAUGCAUCUGUGGAGCAAAAACUGAAGUAUAGUGUGUUAUUUUCAUUGUGUCCUAUCAAGUUUGAUUUGAAUCAUCUCUGUUGAUGUGAACUUAAACUUACUUUAAGCAUGUGUUCCUGGGAUUGGAAAGAGGCAUCCUGCAUGGUAACAUGACCACAGAGAUGUGGGUUAUUCAUACCAAGGACAUUUUAACCCCAAAAUUGUUUCCUAAAACAACUCUAUAUCUCAUGCUGAAAUAAUUGGAUAGUGAAGAAAAAAAAAUAACUUACCCAAUCAGAGAUAUAUAAGAAUUUCAUGAUGAAAUUGGAAUUUUUCUUUCUUGUAAAAAUUUAACAGCAUGAGAAACAUUCACCUAUUUUUAUCUGUUAUUUGAUUGUCUAUUAUUUCUGGAAAA